rnacentral:rRNA from 1 species
UGGGGAAUAUUGCACAAUGGGCGCAAGCCUGAUGCAGCCAUGCCGCGUGUAUGAAGAAGGCCUUCGGGUUGUAAAGUACUUUCAGCGGGGAGGAAGGCGAUAAGGUUAAUAACCUUGUCGAUUGACGUUACCCGCAGAAGAAGCACCGGCUAACUCCGUGCCAGCAGCCGCGGUAAUACGGAGGGUGCAAGCGUUAAUCGGAAUUACUGGGCGUAAAGCGCACGCAGGCGGUCUGUCAAGUCGGAUGUGAAAUCCCCGGGCUCAACCUGGGAACUGCAUUCGAAACUGGCAGGCUAGAGUCUUGUAGAGGGGGGUAGAAUUCCAGGUGUAGCGGUGAAAUGCGUAGAGAUCUGGAGGAAUACCGGUGGCGAAAGCGGCCCCCUGGACAAAGACUGACGCUCAGGUGCGAAAGCGUGGGGAGCAAACAGG